CCAAUAGCGUAUAUUAAAGUUGUUGCAGUUAAAAAGCUCGUAGUUGAAUUUCGGGAUCAAAUUGUCGGUCGUGCUUCGGUACGCACUGGCAUUAUUGGUUCCUACCUUCUGAAGAACCGCGAUGUCAUUAAUUUGGUGUCGUGGGGAAUCAGGACCGUUACUUUGAAAAAAUUAGAGUGUUUAAAGCAGGCGCACGCUUGAAUACAUUAGCAUGGAAUAAUGAAAUAGGACGUUUGAUUCUAUUUUGUUGGUUUCUAGGAUCGACGUAAUGAUUAAUAGGGAUAGUUGGGGGCAUUAGUAUUCAAUUGUCAGAGGUGAAAUUCUUGGAUUUAUUGAAGACUAACUACUGCGAAAGCAUUUGCCAAGGAUGUUUUCAUUAAUCAAGAACGAAAGUUAGGGGAUCGAAGACGAUCAGAUACCGUCGUAGUCUUAACCAUAAACUAUGCCGACUAGGGAUCGGAUGAUGUUAAUUUUAUAAUGACUCAUUCGGCGCCUUACG
rnacentral:rRNA from 1 species